UGAGGGGAGGAGCCGAGCGGCGUACGCGGGAGGCAGCUUUCUCGACCUUCAGGCGCCCGGAGACAAGCGGGAGGUAGCUGGCGGCAGGACAGGAAUCUCUAAAGAGUGAGAGGAAAACUGAUGACAGGCACUGCCCAAAGAAGAUGGAACUGUCAUAGUUGGAUCUGCUUACCUCCCUGAGAACAUAAGCUUGAUGAAGGCAAGGCCGUUUCUUAUCACUGUUGAAUCCCAGUUCCUGGUACAGUGCCUGGCACAUAGUGGAUGGUCAAUGGAUUUAUGAAUGAAUGAACAAAUUAACAAACAACCAUGGGAUGUGUGAAGAGCAGUGAAAAGACUGGACUGUUUGGAAAGAAGUGUCUUUCCUUGAGGAGUAGAGGAAUCUCCGAUUCUCCAGCAGACUGGCAGAGGAACAAGUAAAUGGGCCUGCAUGGGAUUCAAAACACGGGCAAGUGGAACCAGCUGAACAAGGUAUGAUGAUUGCCAAGGUGGACCCUGUGUAGAUUGCAAUAGGGCACUUGAAUCUGAAAUUAAAUUAAAGCACAAACAAAGGAAAAUUGAUCUGCAGAGCCUCCUGGACUCUGCUUGGUCAGCCGACAGUUAGACUUAAAAAAAA